rnacentral:rRNA from 1 species
AUUGAACGCUGGCGGCAGGCCUAACACAUGCAAGUCGAGCGAGCGGCGGACGGGUGAGUAAUGUCUGGGAAACUGCCCGCUGGAGGGGGAUAACUACUGGAAACGGUAGCUAAUACCGCAUACUACUAGAUGUUCCCAGAUGGGAUUAGCUAGUUGGUGGGGUAACGGCUAACCUAGGCGACGAUCCCUAGCUGGUCUGAGAGGCUGACCAGCAACACUGGAACUGAGACACGGUCCAGACUCCUACGGGAGGCAGAAGUGGGGAAUAUUGCACAAUGGGGGAAAGCCUGAUGAAGCAAUGCCGCGGGGGUGAAGAAGGCCUUCGGGUUGUAAAGCACUUUCAGCGGGGAGGCGUUAACCACAGAGGAAGCACCGGCUAACUCCGUGCCAGCAGCCGCGGUAAUAC